rnacentral:rRNA from 1 species
UACGUAGGGGGCAAGCGUUGUCCGGAUUUAUUGGGCGUAAAGAGCGUGUAGGCGGCUAAAUAGGUCCGUUGUGAAAACUCGAGGCUCAACCUCGAGAUGCCGAUGGAAACCAUUUGGCUAGAGUCCGGAAGAGGAGAGUGGAAUUCCCGGUGUAGCGGUGAAAUGCGCAGAUAUCGGGAAGAACACCCGUGGCUAAGGCGGCUCUCUGGGCAGUAACUGACGCUGAGGAGCGAAAGCGUGGGGAGCGAACAGG